CAAAGGUUAAUUCCGGUGGCGGAUGGGCAUGCGUCGCAUUAGUUAGUUGGCGGUGUAACGGACCACCAAGACGACGAUGCGUAGGGGUUCUGAGAGGAAGGUCCCCCACACUGGUACUGAGACACGGACCAGACUCCUACGGGAGGCAGCAGUGAGGAAUAUUGGUCAAUGGGCGGGAGCCUGAACCAGCCAAGUCGCGUGAGGGAUGACGGCCCUAUGGGUUGUAAACCUCUUUUGCCGGGGGGCAAAGUGCCGCACGUGUGCGGUUUGGAGAGUACCCGGAGAAAAAGCAUCGGCUAACUCCGUGCCAGCAGCCGCGGUAAUACGGAGGAUGCGAGCGUUAUCCGGAUUUAUUGGGUUUAAAGGGUGCGUAGGCGGACGCUUAAGUCAGCGGUAAAAUUGCGGGGCUCAACCUCGUCGAGCCGUUGAAACUGGGUGCCUUGAGUGGGCGAGAAGUACGCGGAAUGCGUGGUGUAGCGGUGAAAUGCAUAGAUAUCACGCAGAACUCCGAUUGCGAAGGCAGCGUACCGGCGCCCAACUGACGCUGAAGCACGAAGGCGUGGGUAUCGAACAGGAUUAGAUACCCUGGUAGUCCACGCAGUAAACGAUGAAUGCUAGUUGUCCGGGGCGAUUGAGUUCUGG
rnacentral:rRNA from 1 species